rnacentral:rRNA from 1 species
CGAACGCUGGCGGCGUGCCUAAUACAUGCAAGUCGAACGGUCUUUCUAUGGAAGCUUGCUUCCACUGAGAAGAUAGUGGCGAACGGGUGAGUAACACGUGGGUAACCUGCCCAUAAGAGGGGGGAUAACAUCCGGAAACGGGUAGCUAAUACCGCAUAGUUUUCUUGAUCGCAUGAUUGAGAAAGGAAAGACGGCCUUUGUGCUGUCGCUUAUGGAUGGACCCGCGGCGUAUUAGUUAGUUGGUGAGGUAACGGCUCACCAAGACGAUGAUACGUAGCCGACCUGAGAGGGUGAUCGGCCACAUUGGGACUGAGACACGGCCCAAACUCCUACGGGAGGCAGCAGUAGGGAAUCUUCCGCAAUGGACGAAAGUCUGACGGAGCAACGCCGCGUGAGUGAAAGAAGGUUUUCGGAUCGUAAAACUCUGUUGUCAGAGAAGAACAAGUUGGAGAGUAACUGCUCCAGCCUUGACGGUAUCUGACCAGAAAGCCACGGCUAACUACGUGCCAGCCGCGGC